GAGAAAGUGGCAGAUCGGUAAUGCGUGUGAUUUGAAAUCAUAAUGGGGGGGUUCAACUCCUUCCUUUCUUG
rnacentral:tRNA from 1 species